CAAAGGGAUUACCGGUGGCGGAUGGGCAUGCGGCGCAUUAGCUAGUCGGCGGGGUAACGGCCCACCGAGGCGACGAUGCGUAGGGGUUCUGAGAGGAAGGUCCCCCACACUGGUACUGAGACACGGACCAGACUCCUACGGGAGGCAGCAGUGAGGAAUAUUGGUCAAUGGGCGCGAGCCUGAACCAGCCAAGUCGCGUGAGGGAUGACGGUCCUACGAAUUGUAAACCUCUUUUGCCGGGGAGCAAGCGUGCGUUCGUGAACGCGCGUCGAGAGUACCCGGAGAAAAAGCAUCGGCUAACUCCGUGCCAGCAGCCGCGGUAAUACGGAGGAUGCGAGCGUUAUCCGGAUUUAUUGGGUUUAAAGGGUGCGUAGGCGGGAUGCCAAGUCAGCGGUAAAAAUGCGGUGCUCAACGCCGUCGAGCCGUUGAAACUGGCGUUCUUGAGUGGGCGAGAAGUAUGCGGAAUGCGUGGUGUAGCGGUGAAAUGCAUAGAUAUCACGCAGAACUCCGAUUGCGAAGGCAGCAUACCGGCGCCCUACUGACGCUGAGGCACGAAAGCGUGGGUAUCGAACAGGAUUAGAUACCCUGGUAGUCCACGCAGUAAACGAUGAAUGCUAACUGUCCGGCUCGAAUGAGCGCUGG
rnacentral:rRNA from 1 species